rnacentral:rRNA from 1 species
UACAGAGGCCUCGAGCGUUAGGCGGAAUCACUGGGCUUAAAGCGUGUGUAGGCGGACUUCUAAGUACCUUGUGAAAUCCCACGGCUCACCCGUGGAACUGCUCGGUAUACUGGUCGUCUUGAGCCUUCUAGGGGCGAGUGGAACAAAUGGUGGAGCGGUGAAAUGCGUAGAUAUCACUUGGAACGCCAAAGGUGAAAACAGUCUGCUGGGGAUCUGCUGACGCUGAGACACGAAAGCCAGGGGAGCGAACGGG